AGUAAGAGAAGAUCUUGAAACUUAAGAUUUUUGGCGGUUUUUUAGGCUAGUUAGAGGAAUCUGCUCUUUAAUGGAUGGUCCUCCGUUGAUUUUACUUCUUUUUUAAAUAUCGCCGUCGACGACAGGUCAAGGUUUAGUUUAUGGAGAAGGUUGAAAGUGGAUUUAAAUGUUGAUGGUGUUAAUUUGAGCUCUAAGAAAUGU
rnacentral:rRNA from 1 species